UAGCAACAGCGACUGUCACCGAAGG
rnacentral:piRNA from 1 species